rnacentral:lncRNA from 1 species
GUGCAUCAUCAGUUACGGAUAGUCUGGUGUACUUAAACUUAGGAUAAAUGAGAAUAUUACCAGAUAGAGUUAUCAGAGCAGAGGCGGUAAAAGCUAUCGAGAGAAAAGAAAACUAGGGUUUGGUAUUUGGGGCAAAUCAAUCGAGUGUUUCAGGUGAGGAUCAGUUGAUUACAUAGCUUUGUAUACCUGUCAUGUGAUUUCACUGCUAGAUAUAAUUAUAAUUGUUGUUGUGUUGAUUGGUUUAAUCAGAGUUUGGGGGUGGCGAUUGGGUGGAGUAUGGAGGCUGGGUCGCUGGUAAUGGAGAGAAGCGGAGGUGGUGGUACAGCGGCGUAGAAGGGAGAGGCCGGUUGGGUGAUUGCAGCCGAUCGCCGGAGUGGCGCGAAGGUUGCAGGCGGCUCUGCCGCGGCUGUGCACCGCAGUGGCGAGACGCGCCGUUCACAGGGUAGAGAGAGAGAGAGGGGGGGCUGAAUGGAGGUGCUGGGCAUUGGCUAUGGCCGGAAUCCGGCGAGGCCUGGCGGCAGUCCCGAGGAGGCUGCCACGCGAGUUUUCCGGGAGAAAAACAAAAACAAAUAUUAAUUUUGUUUUUAUUAUUUUUAUUAUUGUUAUUUUUAAUAAAUGAUAACAAUAAUAUUAAUAAUAUUAAUAAAAUUAAUAUAUACUUUUGAUUGUUAUAUUUCUUUGCAAGGUGUAUUAUUAUUAUACUCUAUGACGUGAUUAUUAGUCAUAAAUUGUUUUUCUCGAUUCUUGUAUCAAUUUAUUAUGUUGAUAACAUGUGUAGUUAUGCAACUUAGCGGAUUAGAUACAAGAAUUUGAUUAUUGUGGACAAAUAUUGGGUUGAUUGUGGAUGGUUGGGAUUGCUCUAAAAUUAUAGAGAUGAUGUCCGGAUUUUUAAUUUUAUUAAGAUUUGGAUUUAAUUUGAGAAUCGAAUUAAGAUUAUAAUUCGGAUUCUGAUUAAGAUUUGGACUGAGAUUCUUGGAUUAUCAGUUAUAAUUAUUUAUAAAUAAUAAAGCAUGUCAAUCUCGUGAUACGUGACAAUGUGAUUACGUGUUUAAAUUAUAAAUAUUAUGUGUACAUAAUAAUUGAAAUAUUUAUAUAUCACGAAGGGUAGAAUCCGAAUUCGAUUUCUCGAUUUAGACGACAAUCUGAUUUGUUCGCCAACUAAAUUAUUAUAUUGUUGUUAUAUAUAGUCGACCAAGAUGUAUUAUCAAGGACGUUCAGAAUAGUUGAUUUGUAUUGUCGGAUUGUGUUGAGCCAGAAGCUAGAUGCCAAGGCAAUCUAAAGUUUUCGAGUAGCGUGACUGUGAUGUCACUAGUUCUGUUGUCAGAGGCAAGUUUUCUAAUUAUAACUUGUAUCUAUCGCAAGUAAUCUUUUGGUCGCUUCUAUUUAAAGAAAAUCAUUCAUAUUCAUAUUUUGUUAUGGUCACUAAUAGUGCAUAUCCUAUAGUUAAAAUUAUAAUAUUACUAUUUAUCUCUUAUAACUACUACAAGUAUUCUGCUCUACAUCUCUUUAUAACAAUUCAUAUUUAUUUUCUUCACUCAAUAAAUAUUUUGUGCCAUUGCACACAAGCAUUCAUAGUCUUUUGAAUGUUUUUAUAAGAUGUUAGUUGUUUUCAUUAUUUUAAAAAGGUGAGCUGAUAAAGCUAUGAAAGUAUUUAUUUUAAGAUUUUCAAUUCCUCUCUCUCCUAUUGAACUUGUACAGUAUACAAGUAUAUUGGUUGCAUGAAUUACAUUAUUCAAUUUCGAGCAUGAAAAACAGUUUUAUUUAUAUCAUCAUGUUGGACAUGUGUACACUCACAUCAUGUCUAAUAUUUUACCUACUGUCGUUUUAUAUAAAUGUUUUCCCCUUGAAAAGAACUUUUAUUUAAAUGUUUUAGAAAUGCUGAACCGUUAAUCUAACGGUUAGUAUUAUGAUUUUGAUAUAAAACAAGGUCGUCGAUUAUUUCGAUACCUUGCUUAUUUUGUGAUUGGAAGUACCCUCGGGGACCGUACGCCGGUCCAGUUACUAUUUAGGCCAAUGUGUGCCUUGGAUCCCUUAAAAUUUGGUGACAUGCUUCGUGCAUGAUCCGGUGCUAUCUCGCGACUGAUCAUCGGCUAUAGCAUAGCGUUAAAUUAUUCCAAUCCCUAAAAAUGUUGUGGAAGGUUUAUAUAUUAAUGCUAUUCUUUACUAGCAUUAAGUUUCAGAAAAGUUUUAUAAAUUAAUUCGAAGUUCAUAUUGUUGCUGAAGCAUUUGUUGCUCAGUGAUAGUUAGAGCCAAGAAUGAGUUGGGAUCUUCUUAUUUAUUCAACUCGUCAUUGUCAUGCUGGUUCAGCAACUAAAUAAAUGGAAAUUUAGUCGACGAUGGUGGACACUGAGUAUUUAGGGAUUUCUUGAACUGUGGUUUAUGAACAGUUGAUUAUCAAAAGUUAUUUUGAACUUCUCAAAUGAUUAAUUUUUGAAGCUCUUGCAAAGGUAUUAUUUUAUGAGAUUUGCUGCAAUGCAAAUCAAAAUGGUUUUAAAGAUUCUGAAGUGAAUCAAUUAUUUGAUUCAAAAUGUUUCUCAUAGUUAGAAACUCUCUCUCCAGUUUGGAAUUGCAUUACAAAUAUUUUAGUAGAAAUCCAUUACCUAUUGGAUUGGAAAUUUCCCCGCAUAUUAUAGAUUUAUCUUAUUAUGCUUCUAAAACUUAUCUUGCUGAGCAUUUUCGCUCACCCUUGCUAUUAUUUCUAACCCUUUCAGCUAGGGUUUAAGAUGAUCCAUCUGCGUAAGCUGCCCGUAAGAAUAAUGCUAGGCGAGAAUUCCAGAAAGAUGUCUACGAGAAUAAUUAUGGUUAGAAUUGCAUUAUUUCUGUUCAGUUGUAUAAUAGAUUUAUUUAUUUGGUUAUCAGUUACUCUUCUUAUCGAGGUUUAACUGAUACUGUAGUUUAAGUUGUAAUAAAAUUUGAUAGUUUUGGUUUCUGAUUUCAGUGCUGUAACCUAUUAGCGAUCCUGUUUUUAGGGGGUCAAAGUGAUUUUGAUUUAAAUCUCUUUUAAAAUUUCCAGAUUUUUAAAUAUUGGUUUUACCUUCUUCCGCAAAAUACAGGUUUUUAAAUGAUUUUCUUUUAGUGGCACCAAAUCCAGACCCCCGGAUUUUGGGGAUGUCACAGUUGGUAUCAGAGCUAUAGGUUAUAAGUUAUUGAAAUCAGAAUGUAGAUUGUCAUUAGAGAGAGUGCUUCUUGUAACCUCAAAUAGAGGUAAGUCGAGACUAUUGGGUAUAGUCUUUGUCAAUAGAGUUGAGAUUGAGAUUGGAUUUUUGAUUCUAAGUAAUCAUUUGGGACAUCCUAGUUUCUAGUUUUAGAACUAGUGAGUGUGGAUUUCAGGGAAAAAUGAUGGAACCUUUAGUUUCCAAUAUUUUUGAGGUUAAGUUGACUUUUCUGAGUAACCAGUGUCAGCUAGACUCGUGGGUAAACCUGUCUAGUCUAGAAUGUUUCUUUUCAUCUCUACCACUUCUUGAGUAUUGAUAGAGGGUCAUUAUUGAUUUUCAAGAGAUAUUUAUAGAAUGAGUAUGAGAUUUGUUGGGUUAGAGAUUCUUUGAUUUGAGAGUUAUAUAGAAUUCGUGUUAGGCUAUUUGACAUAGUGCUAUGAGUGGGCUAGAACGUCAAAGCUCUACAAUGCUGAUUGUAUAAAGCUGAAGAUGGCUUCUGACCGUGCCAAGCUGGAUACCACUUUUUACUACAGUGGAUUGCGUUGAUGGAAUCUUUAGAGUCAAAUACGAGUCGGCCAGAAUAUCAGAACAUCGAGAAGAAUCGUUAGAAUCGAAACGAGCCAUUAGAAGAAUCAAUCGAGAAGACAUUUGUGAUAAUGUUGGCAGUACCUUCCUCAUUGUUGAUUAUAUUGAUUAUUUUCCAAUCAAUAAAUUUUUAACAUCUCUUUUAUAAUGAUGUUUAUUAAAAAGUAUAUACUCUCUCUUGAGUAGUAUUGCUAUACUUGUGUUUACCCAUAUUUUGGGUUUGAAUUGUGACAGAGGCUAAUACGAUACCUAUUUUUAGGUUGUGGAAGCCCUGUCGAGUUUGUGAAAAUUCAUUUCUACUUUUUUUUUUUUUUCUUCUCAAAAUGGUGAAUCAUUCUAUUUCAAGAUAUCACCAUUUACUCGUUGUGUAUAAAUAUUCUUUCUGGUUAUUCUUUUCCUAUGGAAUAACACCUAAGAAAAUUUUUAGUUUUGAUCCAAGGUGUGCAUCAGAUUUAUCAGAUUUUAAUGCGUCAACAAACAAUGAUCAUUUAUUUGAUUUUAAAAUUCCUUUCAUAUUCAUUUCCUCUGACUGUACAACCCUAUUCAUAGGGGACACAAGGACUAUCUGUCUGUGUGAUAGAAGUCCGAUGGGACGCCAUCACUUGUGUGUUGUGCAUUACAAGAAGGUUAAUUACCUUUAGUAGUAUCUUUAAUUAGAUACGCAACAUAGUUCUUUGGAUCAUAUUGAUCUCUCAGUAAUUCAUAAUUUCAAAUUAGUUUUGUUUUUGAAACUAAUACAUAUGACUUACUUUGAUAUAUCAAAUAUGAUAUAUUUUAAAUUUUCAUGAUUCUUGUUUCUCCAAUUAAUUUUGAGGGUAUGCCAUCCAGGUUUGAACGAGCUAAUCAUGCUAGUGCAUAUCAAGAUUUCGUAUAAGACUAAAAUAAUGAAAGAAGAUCGUGAGGCGACUUGCAAACAAUAAUCUGCUCUAGUUCUCUCUUCGCUGAUUCCGAGGACGGAAUCCUUAUAAGGGGGGAAGUCUGUAAUGACUUGGAUUUUUUUAUUAAUUAUUAAUUAUUUUGUUGGUGUUUUUAUAAAAAGAGAAAGAAUAAACUUUUAUAGUUUAUUCCAGUUUGUUGGAUUUUCAAAAAAAAAAUAAUUAUUUUAUUAUAUAAUUAAUUCUCGGUCCAAUGAGAUGUUAAGAAUUUAAUUAUUUGAAAUAUUAUGUGGAUAAUAUUCUGAGGUGCAACUAUUUGAAAUUUUAUGCAAUUUUCCGAGUUACUGCAAUUAUGUGAUUAUUUGAUUUAAUUGUGGUACAUGUUAAAUGAGCAAUUUUAUUUGCUUAUUUUAUGUCCUAGUGAGUAGUUUAGAAAACGUGUUUAUUACACUUUUUAUAAAUCAAAGUUGUUCCUUGAUUUAGAAAUAUCAAAAGUCUGUGUUUACUUAUAUUACAAAAUUUUGUCCGAGCGGAUAAGAAAGAAUUUAGAUUUAUUAUAUUGCCUUUAUUAAAAUUGUUUUUUUUGUUUAAAAAUGAAUUUCUGUAUUUAAUUGCACCAAUAUUUAUUCAAGUUAAAAUUACCGAAAUAUUUCAGUUUUGGUAUUUUAAUAUUUUGAAUGAUUUGAAAAUAUUCAAAAGUCUCGCGAAUGAUUAUUUUAAUUAUUUGCAAUUUAAAAAUCAAUUCCGGGCAAUUAAAUAUAGAAAUUUCAAUUAAUUUAAAAAUAAAACUUUUUAUGUAUUUUACCCAUUCGGGAGUUUUUGGGAUUUGUGGUAUAUUUUGUUUUAAAUUUUGAAAUAUAUUUUGGACCCCAAAAAUAAAAAAUUAUUUUAUUUGCUUUUAAUUAAAGUGGAGGUGUGAUUUCUUUUAUAUACAAAUAUACUUCUUUUGAUUAGAAAUUGACAAGCAUGUGCAUCAUCAGUUACGGAUAGUCUGGUGUACUUAAACUUAGGAUAAAUGAGAAUAUUACCAGAUAGAGUUAUCAGAGCAGAGGCGGUAAAAGCUAUCGAGAGAAAAGAAAACUAGGGUUUGGUAUUUGGGGCAAAUCAAUCGAGUGUUUCAGGUGAGGAUCAGUUGAUUACAUAGCUUUGUAUACCUGUCAUGUGAUUUCACUGCUAGAUAUAAUUAUAAUUGUUGUUGUGUUGAUUGGUUUAAUCAGAGUUUGGGGGUGGCGAUUGGGUGGAGUAUGGAGGCUGGGUCGCUGGUAAUGGAGAGAAGCGGAGGUGGUGGUACAGCGGCGUAGAAGGGAGAGGCCGGUUGGGUGAUUGCAGCCGAUCGCCGGAGUGGCGCGAAGGUUGCAGGCGGCUCUGCCGCGGCUGUGCACCGCAGUGGCGAGACGCGCCGUUCACAGGGUAGAGAGAGAGAGAGGGGGGGCUGAAUGGAGGUGCUGGGCAUUGGCUAUGGCCGGAAUCCGGCGAGGCCUGGCGGCAGUCCCGAGGAGGCUGCCACGCGAGUUUUCCGGGAGAAAAACAAAAACAAAUAUUAAUUUUGUUUUUAUUAUUUUUAUUAUUGUUAUUUUUAAUAAAUGAUAACAAUAAUAUUAAUAAUAUUAAUAAAAUUAAUAUAUACUUUUGAUUGUUAUAUUUCUUUGCAAGGUGUAUUAUUAUUAUACUCUAUGACGUGAUUAUUAGUCAUAAAUUGUUUUUCUCGAUUCUUGUAUCAAUUUAUUAUGUUGAUAACAUGUGUAGUUAUGCAACUUAGCGGAUUAGAUACAAGAAUUUGAUUAUUGUGGACAAAUAUUGGGUUGAUUGUGGAUGGUUGGGAUUGCUCUAAAAUUAUAGAGAUGAUGUCCGGAUUUUUAAUUUUAUUAAGAUUUGGAUUUAAUUUGAGAAUCGAAUUAAGAUUAUAAUUCGGAUUCUGAUUAAGAUUUGGACUGAGAUUCUUGGAUUAUCAGUUAUAAUUAUUUAUAAAUAAUAAAGCAUGUCAAUCUCGUGAUACGUGACAAUGUGAUUACGUGUUUAAAUUAUAAAUAUUAUGUGUACAUAAUAAUUGAAAUAUUUAUAUAUCACGAAGGGUAGAAUCCGAAUUCGAUUUCUCGAUUUAGACGACAAUCUGAUUUGUUCGCCAACUAAAUUAUUAUAUUGUUGUUAUAUAUAGUCGACCAAGAUGUAUUAUCAAGGACGUUCAGAAUAGUUGAUUUGUAUUGUCGGAUUGUGUUGAG